rnacentral:rRNA from 1 species
CCUACGGGUGGCAGCAGUGGGGAAUAUUGCACAAUGGGGGAAACCCUGAUGCAGCGACGCCGCGUGAGUGAAGAAGUAAUUCGUUAUGUAAAGCUCUAUCAGCAGGGAAGAAAAUGACGGUCCCUGAGUAAGAAGCCCCUGCUAACGCCGUGCCAGCAGCCGCGGUAAUACGUAGGGGGCACGCGUUAUACGGAUUUACUGGGGGUAAAGUGAGCGUAGACGGCAGUGCAAGUCGGGAGUGAAAGGCGGGGGCUCAACCCCCGGACUGCUCUUGAUACUGUACGGCUGGAGUGCAGGAGAGGGAGGCGGAAGUCCAGGUGUAGCGGUGAAAUGCGUAGAUAUCAGGAGGAACACCAGUGGCGAAGGCGGCUUACUGGACUGUAAUUGACGUUGAGGCGCGAAAGCGUGGGGAGCAAACAGGAUUAGAUACCCGGGUAGUC